AGCCUGAACCAGCCAAGUCGCGUGAGGGAUGAAGGUUCUAUGGAUCGUAAACCUCUUUUAUAAGGGAAUAAAGUGCGGGACGUGUCCCGUUUUGUAUGUACCUUAUGAAUAAGGAUCGGCUAACUCCGUGCCAGCAGCCGCGGUAAUACGGAGGAUCCGAGCGUUAUCCGGAUUUAUUGGGUUUAAAGGGUGCGUAGGCGGCCUUUUAAGUCAGCGGUGAAAGUCUGUGGCUCAACCAUAGAAUUGCCGUUGAAACUGGGGGGCUUGAGUAUGUUUGAGGCAGGCGGAAUGCGUGGUGUAGCGGUGAAAUGCAUAGAUAUCACGCAGAACCCCGAUUGCGAAGGCAGCCUGCCAAGCCAUGACUGACGCUGAUGCACGAAAGCGUGGGGAUCAAACAGGAUUAGAUACCCUGGUAGUCCACGCAGUAAACGAUGAUCACUAGCUGUUUGCGAUACACUGUAAGCGGCACAGCGAAAGCGUUAAGUGAUCCACCUGGGAGAGCCGACCUUGCAACGGUGAAACUCAAAGGAAUUGACGGGGGCCCCGCACAAGCGGAGGAACAUGUGGUUUAAUUCGAUGAUACGCGAGGAACCUUACCCGGGUUUGAACGCAUUCGGACCGAGGUGGAAACACCUUUUCUAGCAAUAGCCGUUUGCGAGGUGCUGCAUGGUUGUCGUCAGCUCGUGCCGUGAGGUGUCGGCUUAAGUGCCAUAACGAGCGCAACCCUUGCCACUAGUUACUAACAGGUUAGGCUGAGGACUCUGGUGGGACUGCCAGCGUAAGCUGCGAGGAAGGCGGGGAUGACGUCAAAUCAGCACGGCCCUUACAUCCGGGGCGACACACGUGUUACAAUGG
rnacentral:rRNA from 1 species